GUAGGUGGCAAGCGUUGUCCGGAAUUAUUGGGCGUAAAGCGCGCGCAGGCGGUUCUUUAAGUCUGAUGUGAAAGCCCACGGCUCAACCGUGGAGGGUCAUUGGAAACUGGAGAACUUGAGUACAGAAGAGGAAAGUGGAAUUCCACGUGUAGCGGUGAAAUGCGUAGAGAUGUGGAGGAACACCAGUGGCGAAGGCGGCUUUCUGGUCUGUAACUGACGCUGAGGCGCGAAAGCGUGGGGAGCAAACAGGGAUUAGAUACCCUGGUAGUCCACGCCGUAAACGAUGAGUGCUAAGUGUUAGGGGGGGUUUCCGCCCCCCUUAGUGCUGCAGCUAACGCAUUAAGCACUCCGCCUGGGGAUACGGCCGCAAGGCUG
rnacentral:rRNA from 1 species